AGCAGCAUGGCGCAGUGGUAGCGCGCGGGGCCCAUACAAAAUAAUUAACCCCGAGGUCACUUGAUCGAAACAAGUUGCUGCUA